CAGAUCUUUCGUAUAGCGUGUUAGAAAUAGGUUAGUCAAUCACAACCGUUAAUUGCAAAAUCGACAGUGUAAAAUGCGCGAUCCGUACUGUCAUUUUGAAACCAGAAUAGACGCAUCCUUAAUAACCCCUUUGAUAAUGUAUCAUUUCCAUUCUACAGUUGAUGCCUUGAAGAGUGAGUGAGUGACAAGUGCAAUGGAGACGAAUUUCACACUAGUCACUGUUAGACAACAGCAAUUUUUUCAUUGCAGAAUCACAGAGAAGAGGCUCCAUAGCGUGUUCAAGAUAGAUGACCCAGUGCUCUGCCAAAUUGUGGGGUGGAUUUUGGGGGCGGAGUUUUUGAAGUCAAAGCAUCGGUAUUUCUCCAACAUUGACAUUGCUUCGACCUUUAUAGCCUAGGGCCUGGAAUUGGAGUCCAAAGAGGGAUUUCCGAGGGCAAUGCGUGUGUGUGAAGCCGGAGUGGUGUGUGGUGUGUCAGUCAUCUUUGUAAUGACAGAGCCUGGUGUGGGUUUGUGGGCGCACCACAGAGACUAGCGUUAAUUUGGAUAUGUGAAGACCUUGGUGCAACUGUUCCUGGUUUGGAGUGUGUUUGGAAAGAAGGAUGAAUGGCAACGGGAAGCCCAAAUGGGAUGGGUGUUGUUGAAAGAGUACCUGAAUGCUCAAGCGUUGAAGUGAAAGAUAGUGCGUAUAGACUGAGAGAAGGUGUGUGGCUGGAACCAGCUGCCUUGUGGUCCGAUGGGAAUCGAGUUGACACGACACGUUCUCUGAUACCACUUGGACUGGGGGAGACUAGACCUCAUGACCUCAUGCUUCACUACUGAAAGCUCUCACCAAUUGAGCUAAGCCCCCAACCUUGAUGCACACAUAUACUUGGAACUGAAUGAUUUUGUAGAUUCUAUGCAUUGAAUAUAGAUUUUCAUGAGUUCAUUUCAAGCUUGACCUGCUUACUCUGCUCCACAGAAGUAGGCACAAAGUGGCUUCAAUCCUGUUCUAUACAAUUUCUAACUCCACAAGGACCUUCUGUCGCCAUGGUUGCUGCAUUUAAAAGAGACAUUUUGACUCUAGUGGCAACACAAUGUAUUGGUAAAGAUGAAAAUAGCAGGGACUAAAUGCAUUUAUUUUAUUUUACCAUUACCAUUCAUGGUUAAGAAACCAGUCUCUGGUGAAGCGUCUAAAGACCUCUUUGAUAAAUUUAUUCUCUUACUGAAAAUAAUGAUAAUAUAAACCGGCUAAAACCUAAGACCUUCCAUUUACUACUGGAAUGCCCUAUCAACGGAACUCCAUUUGUCAGCCCAUCAGUGACUCAGGUAGAGACCACCUCAAGUUUGGCAACUACUAUGCCUAUUCCAUGACCGAUUGUGCAGGUGUCAGCAGUAAAAAUACAUGUCCACCUCCCAUAUAGUAAAUUCUGACGCCGGUCUGGAGAACGUAGAAGAUGAUGAUUGGGACAAUUUUCAGCGUUUUCCAGCCUCCACCAUAGUAAUAUCUGAAGAGUGAAGAUUCCUCCAAAGAGGGAAUUGAUUUCCCAGCUGAAGACUGAUGGUUUUCAAGACAUUGUGAUUAAUACUAUUUGUAGCUAAGAAGCCGAAUUAAUCACAAUGAUGCCCAUUCUUUGAUCAAACGAAUUCUAGACCAAAACAAGCCAAAGCCAAAUAUAAAUGGUGCACAAGAAAUGGAGGACGGAGGAGGUAUCAGUCUGUAAUUCUAACAACAAAAUCCUUCAGCAUAUGCAAUUGUAAUUCUGGUACUGUGGCUCACCGCUGUGAUAUGACAUGCUUGACAGAGUACUUGCAAAAUGAAGAGCUGUAAGAAAUGGCCAGCAAGAUUCAAGGAUUCAUGUCGAUGUCAUCUCUAAAUUGUAUAAUCGUGGGUUUUUUUCUACCUAUGGAUUAAGUUAUAUUUAUAUUUCUCAAUCCCAUGACAUGCGACUUAGCAUUCUCAUGGUAGAUUGCAUUGUAUUUUUGUAAAAGAUAUGGUCAUUGUAAAAUUUGU